GAGUUUGAUCAUGGCUCAGAUUGAACGCUGGCGGUAACUUUUAAACAUGCAAGUCGAGCGGUAACAGACAUAAAGAUUCAGCUUGCUGAAUCCGGUGCUGACGAGCGGCGAACGGGUGAGUAACGCGUAGGAAUCUACCCAGUAGCGGGGGAUAGCCCGAGGAAACUCGGAUUAAUACCGCAUACGCCCUGAGGGGGAAAGGGGGCAGUUUACUGCUCUCACUAUUGGAUGAGCCUGCGUAAGAUUAGCUUGUUGGUAGGGUAAUGGCCUACCAAGGCGACGAUCUUUAGCUGGUCUGAGAGGACGAUCAGCCACAUUGGGACUGAGACACGGCCCAGACAUCUACGGAUGGCAGCAGUUAAGAAUAUUGGACAAUGGGGGCAACCCUGAUCCAGGUAUACCGCGUGUGUGAAGAAGGCCCUAGGGUUGUAAAGCACUUUAAUCAGAGAAGAAGCAUUUUAAAUUAAUACCUUAAAAUGUUGACGUUACCUGAAGAAUAAGGACCGGCUAACUCCGUGCCAGCAGCCGCGGUAAUACGGAGGGUCCAAGCGUUAAUCGGAAUUACUGGGCGUAAAGCGCGCGUAGGCGGUUUAGCAAGUUGUAUGUGAAAGCCCUGGGCUCAACCUAGGAACUGCAUCCAAAACUACUAAGCUAGAGUACGAGAGAGGAGAGUAGAAUUUCUGGUGUAGCGGUGAAAUGCGUAGAUAUCAGAAGGAAUACCAAUGGCGAAGCAGCUCUCUGGCUCGUCACUGACGCUGAGUGCGAAAGCGUGGUAGCAAACAGGAUUAGAUACCC
rnacentral:rRNA from 1 species